rnacentral:rRNA from 1 species
AAAUCGGGACAGGGUUAGUCGGCCCCUAAGGCGAGGCGGAAACGCGUAGUCGAUGGGAAACAGGUUAAUAUUCCUGUACCACUUUUUACUGCGAUGGGGGGACGGAGAGGGCUAGGCUAGCACGGCGUUGGUUGUCCGUGUUUAAGGUCGUAGGCUGGGUGCUUAGGUAAAUCCGGGCGCCUAAGGCUGAGAACUGAUGACGAGUGUUCCUCGGAACACGAAGUAGUUGAUGCCAUGCUUCCAAGAAAAGCCUCUAAGCUUCAGGUAAAAAGAGACCGUACUCCAAACCGACACAGGUGAUCAGGUAGAGAAUACCAAGGCGCUUGAGAGAACUCGGGUGAAGGAACUAGGCAAAAUGGCACCGUAACUUCGGGAGAAGGUGCACCGCUUUUGGUCAUGGGAUUUACUCCCGCAGCCGAGGGCGGUCGAAGAUACCAGGCCCCUGCAACUGUUUAUUAAAAACACAGCACUCUGCAAACACGUAAGUGGACGUAUAGGGUGUGACGCCUGCCCGGUGCCGGAAGGUUAAUUGAUGGGGUUAGCGCAAGCGAAGCUCUUGAUCGAAGCCCCGGUAAACGGCGGCCGUAACAAUAACGGUCCUAAGGUAGCGAAAUUCCUUGUCGGGUAAGUUCCGACCUGCACGAAUGGCGUAAUGAUGGGGGCGCUGUCUCCACCCGAGACUCAGUGAAAUUGAAAUCGCGGUUAAGAUGCCGUGUUCCCGCGGCUAGACGGAAAGACCCCGUGAACCUUUACUAUAGCUUUGCACUGAACUUUGAACCUAUCUGUGUAGGAUAGGUGGGAGGCUUUGAAGCUGAGACGCUAGUCUUAGUGGAGCCGUCCUUGAAAUACCACCCUGGUAUGUUUGAGGUUCUAACGUAGGCCCCUAAUCGGGGUUGCGGACAGUGUAUGGUGGGUAGUUUGACUGGGGCGGUCUCCUCCCAAAGAGUAACGGAGGAGCACGAAGGUGUGCUGAUCAUGGUCGGAAAUCAUGAGGUUAGUGUAAAGGCAAAAGCACGCUUGACUGCGAGACAGACAUGUCGAGCAGGUACGAAAGUAGGUCUUAGUGAUCCGGUGGUUCUGUAUGGAAGGGCCAUCGCUCAACGGAUAAAAGGUACUCCGGGAUAACAGGCUGAUACCGCCCAAGAGUUCACAUCGACGGCGGUGUUUGGCACCUCGAUGUCGGCUCAUCACAUCCUGGGGCUGAAGCCGGUCCCAAGGGUAUGGCUGUUCGCCAUUUAAAGUGGUACGCGAGCUGGGUUUAGAACGUCGUGAGACAGUUCGGUCCCUAUCUGCCGUGGGCGUUGGAGAUUUGAGAAGAGUUGUUCCUAGUACGAGAGGACCGGAAUGAACGAACCUCUGGUGUUCGGGUUGUCAUGCCAAUGGCACUGCCCGGUAGCUAUGUUCGGACGGGAUAACCGCUGAAAGCAUCUAAGCGGGAAGCCUCCUUCAAGAUGAGAUCUCCCUGGGACUUUAAGUCCCCUAAAGAGCCGUUGAAGACUACGACGUUGAUAGGUUGGGUGUGGAAGCGCAGCGAUGCGUUGAGCUAACCAAUACUAAUUGCUCGUGCGGCUUGACCG